CAGUAGCCACGGGAAUACGGAGGGUGCAAGCGUUAUCCGGAUUUAUUGGGUUUAAAGGGUCCGUAGGCGGAUCUGUAAGUCAGUGGUGAAAUCUCACAGCUUAACUGUGAAACUGCCAUUGAUACUGCAGGUCUUGAGUAAAUUUGAAGUGGCUGGAAUAAGUAGUGUAGCGGUGAAAUGCAUAGAUAUUACUUAGAACACCAAUUGCGAAGGCAGGUCACUAAGAUUUAACUGACGCUGAUGGACGAAAGCGUGGGGAGCGAACAGGAUUAGAUACCCCCGUAGUCCAUGUCUCUUAUAC
rnacentral:rRNA from 1 species